UUUUUGACAUGUACCUACAUUUAAAAGUGUCGCUAUAGACCGUUUUUGUUGUAGUGAGAAAUGUAAAGAUUUAAAUAUUUAAAAUUAAAAUCUAAAUCUAAAUCUAAAUUUUAAUCUUUAAAAUUUGAUAUUAUAAAAUUGAGGGGCCCGCGUCUGAUUAGCUAGUUGGUGAUGCAAUAGCUUACCGAGGGGAUAUCAGUCUUUGGUCCGAGAGGAUGAUCAGCCACACUAGGUCUGAGACAUGACCCAGACUCCUACGGGAGGCAGCAGUGGAAAAUUUUUCGCAAUGAAUAAAAAAUAAA
rnacentral:ncRNA from 1 species